UUAGACUCUACAAAGGUUGAAAAUGAUGUUCCUUGAAAUUCUGUUUCUCCUGGGCCAAAUAAUGGUCAGCCACGCAUCAGAUCAUUGUGAUUUUCUGGAGGGGGUCUUGGCAAACUACCCCCAGUGCACUGCCAUUGAUUGCAUUGGUCUCACUUGCACACCACCAGUCCCCUUUGAAAACUUUACUGUGAGUUUACAGUCAUAGAAUGCACGGAUCCAGUUCAAGUGAUUUUACGAUUAUCUCAAGCAGUGGAGCAAUGUUCACAAGUUUGUUUGAUCGCGGUCAAGUGGUUCAGUUUGGUUCAUGGAACACGAGUGUCAAUGUGGAGAUGUCUCGCAAUUAGCCUACUCGCAAUGCAACACAUUUGGGCAUGCAUCGUCAAUGAAUGUGAUAUAUGUUUUAUGAACACUGAAAUAUUUAAGAUGUCACUCUUGCAAGAUGCCAUAGAUUUUACUAUAAGCAGCAAUUUGAUUGGCUAGAGGUAGUGUUCUCUCCAAUUUAGAUGAUCAUUUUGAUCAUGUCGCAUAGAUUACAGAUUGUAGAUAAGAAAAAUCAAGAGCUCAUCUGCUAUUACCUAAAACGCUUUGACACUGUUUAGUGACCGUUUAGAAGCCCUCAGGGCGAGAGAACCCUCACUGUAUGUGUUUGCGAUUCUACAACACCUUUCUAGAAACUUCCUAAACAGUAUCUCUGUUUUGUUAACUAUGACAUACCUGUAAAAAGAGGCAAUGCAAAUAGUUGUGUACUUUGUGUCAACAAUCCAAUAGGAAAGUGCGCCAAGCCAGUAUCCCUCGGACAGAGCACAAGCACUUGUGGUUAAAACUUACCCAGUACGUCACCCCCCCCACACACACAUACACAUAUACAUUCAUCCACCGCCCCCUCCCACACACACACAUUCAUUAACCGCCCCCUACACAUGCACACAUGCACACACAGGGCAAACUAGACUAUCUGACCUACCCUCACAGACCAAUGAUUGCUGAUAUUGUACCUAACAUCAUUAACGCUGUCAUGCUAGAGAUUACAUAAUUCAAGAAAGACCCUGAAUCUUGCCAUGCAUGGUGUGACUGUAUACAUGCAUGCUAAGGAUUCAACUGGUAAUCGGACGCCCUGAAUUUGCAUGUUUGCAUGCACUAUCCCUUGUAUUGGGAGCCACAACACUUUCGGUUCGUGGAGUGAGCAUUGAUAAAUUAACCAACUGUCAGUGGGCUGUGAUGUCAGGUGUGGUGAGUGUGGUAGAGGACAGCUGCAGUCUGUCUCUCUGUUGUGACCUCUACAAAGGAGGGAAGCUUUUCAAUGGUAAGAUGUACAAGUGCAUUAUUAAAAUUGAU